GACGAACCGUGCGAACGUUAUUCGGAAUCACUGGCUUAAAGCGCGUGUAGGCGGGCCGCCGCGUCGGGCGCUGAAAUCCCCCGGCUCAACCGGGGAACGGGCACCGAUACGGGCGGCCUGGAGGGGGUAGGGGGGCCGGAACGUCACGGUGGAGCGGUGAAAUGCGUUGAGAUCGUGAGGAACGCCCGUGGCGAAAGCGGGCCCCUGGACCCUUGCUGACGCUGAGACGCGAAAGCCAGGGGAGCGAACGGG
rnacentral:rRNA from 1 species